GACAGAGGGGGCAAGCGUUGUCCGGAGUUACUGGGCGUAAAGGGCGCGGAGGCGGUCUGCGGCGUCGGCGCUGAAAGCGCCCCGCUUAACGGGGGGAGGCGUGCCGAUACGCGCAGGCUCGAGGCGAGCAGAGGGUGGUGGAAUUCCGGGUGGAGCGGUGAAAUGCGUAGAGAUCCGGAGGAACGCCAGUGGGGAAGCCGGCCACCUGGGCUCGACCUGACGCUGCUGCGCGACAGCGUGGGGAGCAAACCGG
rnacentral:rRNA from 1 species